GACGGGGGGCGGGGCGCGCGGGGUAGCCUGGGCCAAGGGCGCGCGGGCGCGGGGAGCGGGGGCGGGGCAGGCGCGGACCCUCCCUCCCCAGGACCCGCCAGACGCCCGGGGCCCCCAACGGCCAGCACGGUCCGAAUCGACCCCAAGCUUGACCCGAGGGCAGCGGGGCCUCCGGGAAUGCCUGGCCAGGGCGGUGUCGCCGGGAGUGAAUGGGGGAGGGGGCGGCCGGGGCAGGACCCGGGUCAGGGCCACUCUGGUAGUCUCCUGCCCACCCCUCCCCAAGCCGAGCUCCCGGCCUCCCUCCCUCUCCCCCGUCCAGGGCUGAGGACUGGGGAAGCUGAGUCCCGGGACGGGUAUGGGGGGGUUGGGGCUUGGGAUGCAGCCGGACCUCCGGGAACAGCAGGGGGCCCUGGAGCCACCAGGAGGGAGAAGGCCCCGUCCCUGAGCCAGGCUCGCAGGUAAGACCCGAGGCCGCAAACCCCGGCUGCCCCCACCCCCAGCCCAGGCUCUGAUCUGGCCCCACACUGGCGUUUUGUGGAGGAGACCCUGGAAGCCAGGGGAGAUGUCAGCCAAGCCGCGCAGCACAGGGGCCCAACUUCCACUGGCAGAAUGCAAGCACCCAAGAGGCAGGAGUUUCACCCAAAGGCAGGGUUCACCCCUGUGUUCCCAGAGAUUGGACACAUAGCUGGUGUUCAGUAAACAUUUGCGGGAUGAGUGAAUAAAUGACGGAGCAUUUAUUAAGAGCAUGGCUGUGCUUGGCUCUCCAUACAGAGAUGAGUAAGGCAAGGGGCUUCACAGCUCUUGGCUGUGUGUGUGUCCGUGUGUGUGCAUGAGUGUGCAUGCAUUUGCCUCUGUGUGCCUGUGUAUCUGCAUAUGUGCAUGUCUGUGUUGUCAGCACGCAUGCAUGUGCAUGUGUCCACGUGUUUCUGUGUGCAUGUCUGUGUGCCCGUGUGUGCAUGUAUCUGUGUGUGCAUGUGCCUGUGUCUGUGUGCAUUGUCUCUGUGUGUGUUCAUGCGUGUGCAUGUGUCUGUCUGUGCCUGUGUGUAUUUGUGUAUGUGUCUAUGUAUGUCUGUGUGUGUGUUCACAUGUGUGCAUAUCUCUGUGUUCAUCUCUGUUUGUUCAUGUGUGCAUGUGUCUCUAUAUCUGUGUGCAUCUAUGUGUCUGUGUUUGUGUGUCCAUGUGUGCAUUUGUCUGUGUAUCUGUGUACGAGUGUCUGUGUGUCUGUGUGUGCAUGUCUGUGUUUGUGUGUUCAUAUGUGCAUGUUUCUAUGUAUAUAUGUCUCUGUGUUCAUGUGUGUUCAUGUCUGUGCAUGUUCACAUGUAUGCAUGUUUCUCUCCAUGUGUCUCUGUGUGUGCAUGUUUCUGUGUAUGUAUGUCUGUUCAUGUGUGUGGUCUGUGCAUGUUCAAAUGUGUGCAUGUCUGUGUGUUCAUAUCUGCAUUUGUUCAUGUGUUCAUGUGUCUAUGUGUGUGUUUGUAUGUAUAUCUGUGUGUGCAUGUGCCUGUGUGUGUGUGUCUGUGUAUGCACAUGUGUGUAGGGGGAUCUGGGGGGUUCUGGCUCUGAGCUUAGUACUCUAUUCUUCAAAUAUCCGUUUCUUGGCAUCGGGCAUGACAGCCUAUCCAGCUUGGAGGUUUUCUGCCCCUUGGCUGAGGCUGGGCGAGCCGAACACCCAUUUCUCCUUUCUUUGUUGAGCCAUUCUUUUCUUCCUCAGGAUGUUUAUCCCAGGAAAUCCAGAGGAUCAGAACCAGGCAGGACCCGGCACUGGGACGGAGGCAGCUGUCUGCGGGGCGUUUACCGUAGAUACGUAUCACCUGUUCUGAGACAGAGCCUGGGAGGCUGUUUUUAAUCAUCCGGGAGGUUGUAAAAUGUUUCCCGACGUUACGAGGACAGCUGCUGGAAUAAUGAUGCAGGUAGCUGGCACACACGCAGUGCAAAGGUUUCACCAGACAUGGUCUUCUAUGCCUAUCACCUGGUCAAUACGAGCAGCAGCCACGUUAAGGUGUAAUACACACUGGCGUCAUCUAACGUUCCAUGUGAGGAAACUGAGGCACACAAAGGGCAACUGGCUUGCUCAAGGUCGCGUGAAUGGCAAAGCGUGGAUCUGGGAUUCAAGCCCAGACAAUUGGGCUCCAGAAUUGACUUUAUUAGUCAUGAUCACUCCAGAGAAAACAUCAAGCACUUUUCAUUACAUGUUUAAUGAAAAUGAUGUUAAAGUGGUUUUGUAGGAGAAAACAUUUCAUUCAUGUAAAUACAUUUUACUGCAUUCUAAAAUCUAGCAGGAAAAGAUGUGGCCUAACUACCGUCAAGAUCUGGGUACAUUUCAUUGGAAAUACAAGCACAUUGGACAUGGGAAAAUACUGGGGAACUUUACAUGGAAGAGAAUGCAUCUGAUAGUCUGGCGCACUAGCAUUUGCUGGAUUUUUAGGACAUAUGGGAGGCCGGGUGCGGUGACCUCCCCCAGCAAUCCCAGCAAUUGGGGAGGCUGAGGCCGGUGGAUUGCUCGAGCCCAGGAGUCCAAGACUAGCCCGGGCAAUAUGGUAAAACCUCAUCUCUAUGAAAAAAAAUACAAAAAAUUAGCCGGGUGUGGUGGUGCACAGCUGUAGUCUCAGCUACGUGGGAGGUUGAGGUGGGAGAAUCACCUGAGCCUGGGGAAGUCAAGGCUGCAGUGAGCCGAGAUUGCACCACUGCACUCCAGCCUGGGUAACAGAGUGAGACCCUGUCUCAACAAACAAAACACAAAAAUAUAUAUAUGCUGAAUGCUCAGUGAGCUGUAACAUGUGAGGCAGCCCCCAGGGGUGCCGAGAUGAACCGCUAAGAAGGCGUAUGUUCCCACGGGGUGCAGAGAUGAACCCCUGUCUGAGAAGGCGCAUGUACCCAUGGGGUGCAGCGAUGAACCCCUGUCUUGAGAAGCCGCAUGUACCCACGGGGGUGCAGAGAUGAACCUCUGGGAAGGCGCAUGUACCCACAGGGUGCAGAGAUGAACCCCUGUCUGAGAAGACGCAUGUACCCACGGGGGUGCAGAGAUGAACCUCUGGGAAGGCGCAUGUACCCACAGGGUGCAGAGAUGAACCCCUGUCUGAGAAGACGCAUGUACCCACGGGGGUGCAGAGAUGAACCUCUGGGAAGGCGCAUGUACCCACAGGGUGCAGAGAUGAACCCCUGUCUGAGAAGGUGCAUGUACCCACGGGGUGCAGAGAUGAACCCGUCUGAGAAGGCACAUGUACCCACGGGGUGCAGAGAUGAACCCCUGAGAAGGCGCAUGUACCCACGGGGUGCAGAGAUGAACCCAACUGAGAAGGAGCAUGUACCCACGGGGUGCAGAGAUGAACCUGUCUGAGAAGGCGCACACACCCACAGCUGCCCCUCAUCUUAGCACCACAGUGCCAGCCCCACCCUGUCUUUGAUAAGCCCUGGCCUUCCAGGGCCUCCCUCAGAGAACCAGCCCCUGCGGAGUCCCUGAACGUAGCUGCGGUCUGGGGUGCCGACCCUCGGCACUGGGAGAAACCCUCACCAGUAGCAUCACCCCCCAGUGAGCCAAGAUCGCACCACGGCAGCAUCACUGGGGAGGGAGUCACGUGGUUGUCACUGCAGAACUCUGGAGAGGCAGGCUCUUGCGUGGGUGGGGGCCAUGGAGGACGCAGCGUGGGAUUUAAAAUGAGCCCAGUGAAGGGAAAUGCUGGUUCUUCAAUGUCCAUGAGCUCAAGCCCUGUGGGAGGUGUAGCCUCGAUUAUUUUGCACAGAUCUGAACAGCAUUCACCCCCAGUUGGAUAUGGCCCUUUCCUCGAAGCACAGAUUGGAACUCAAGGUCACUGAAGUGCUUUCUGGCCGCAUCAUGGAGAGAAAGGCAUUUUCUCACUCAGGCAUCACCCCGGGAACGUGGCGUGCCAUGUUUUAGCAUCUAAGUGUGUCCCCCGAGGAGGCAGGGUUAUGCCGUAAUCACAAGCAAACCCCAAACCUCAACGGCAUAAACGACACAGGGUAAUUUAUCAUGGGAUUGCGUGUCCACCUGGGUCCCCGCGGAGCUCUGUUGACUGGAGUCGCUCGGAGCCCCCGGCGCGAAUGCUGGAUGGCUGGGCGGGGAGGAGCGCUCAGGGGCUUCACGCUGUCAACACCCCACUCCGAAGUGACUCCCGCUGCUUCCAGCAGUCACCUGCUGGACAGAGACCGUCACACGGGCCCCUUCACGCAGUGGGGUGGGAAGGGAGAUCCUACCGCGUACCUGGAAGACGGGAGAACAGGGGUGUUUCGAUCAGUCCUUGUAGCACGGCCGGGACUUAAGCUCUGAACCACCAGUGAGGAGGUCGUUGGUCUGAGCCUGCUUUUCCAAGUCCUAUCUUCCCUUCUUGGGUUCAGACAGCAGAUCCGACUGUAAGUGGCUUUAAAGAGACAGCAGACAUGUUUGUGGCAGUUUAUUCAUUGCCCCUGGAUGCCACCCUUGCAUGCCCCCUAUGUGACAGCUAGCGGCCCACAGCCCAUUAACCCUGCAGAUGGGCACAGCAGGCCUCAGGGAGGUGAUGUGGGUUCAGUGUGCCGAAGAUGAAGAGAUGCAGGGGACUCAAACCCACUGGCCGAGGCACCACCCGUUUCUCCAGGCAAAGAGGUGAGUCCCAACCAGUGAAGAGAAGGGAGAAGUGGUGCCAGGGCGAGAACGUGUGUGUGCCUGUGUGUGUGCCUGUGUGUGCUUGUGUGUGUGUGCAUGUGUGUGUGCACAUGAGCUUCUGUAUGUCUGCAGCUGCACAUGUACAUAUAUGUGCAUGUGUGCAUGUGUGCCUGAGUAUGUGUGCAUGUGCACCUUUGUGUGCCUCAGUAUGUACACGUGUGUGCAUGCAUGCAUGUGCAUUGUGCUUGUGUGUGUGCAUGAGCCUGUCUCUGCCUGCACAUGUGCGCCUAAGCAUGUACCCGUGUGUGCAUGCAUGUGUGUGCAUGUCUUUG
rnacentral:lncRNA from 1 species